rnacentral:rRNA from 1 species
GAUCCUGGCUCAGGAUGAACGCUGGCGGCGUGCCUAACACAUGCAAGUCGAGCGAAGCGAUCGAGAUGAAGUUUUCGGAUGGAUUCCUGAUUGACUGAGCGGCGGACGGGUGAGUAACGCGUGGGUAACCUGCCUCAUACAGGGGGAUAACAGUUAGAAAUGACUGCUAAUACCGCAUAAGUGCACAGUACCACAUGGUACGGUGUGAAAAACUCCGGUGGUAUGAGAUGGACCCG